GGAGGGUACUGCUAUCGGAAUCCGACUAAGCCAUGCAAGUCGACGACAUCUUAUGGUGUCGUGGCGUACGGCUGAGUAACAAGUAGUCAACCUACCGUUAAGAAGGGGAUAACCUCGGGAAACUGAGGAUAAUACCCUAUAGAUCUGGGGAUCUGGAAUGCCCCCUGAUUUAAAUCUGCUAGAGAAUUGUAUCUAGCGGGCUUAACGAUGGGACUGCGGACGAUUAGGCAGUUGGCGAGGUAACGGCUCACCAAACCGAUAAUCGUUAGGGGCAAUGGGAGUUGGAGCCCCCAGAAGGGCACUGAGACAAGGGCCCUAGUCCUACGGGAUGCAGCAGGCGCGAAAAUUUUGCAAUGCGCGAAAGCGUGACAAGGGGAUUCCGAGUGAUUCUCUUCGGAGAAUCUUUUCACCUGUGUAAAUAGCAGGUGGAAUAAGGGCCGGGUAAGACCAGUGCCAGCCUUCUUAUGACGUUGCACGUUUGCGUCUUAAGACUGGAAGCCGCGGUAAUACUGGCGGCCCGAGUGGUACCCACGUAUAUUGGGUUUAAAGCGCACGUAGCUGGCUUGGUGUGUUCUCUGUGAAAUCCUUCGGCCUAACCGAGGGGCGUGCAGAGAAUACUACCAGGCUUGAGAAUGGGGGAGGCCAGAGGUACAUACAGAGUAGGGGUAAAAUCCGUUGAUCCUGUAUGGACCCACAGCGGCGAAGGCGUCUGGCUAAAACAUGUCUGACGGUGAGGUGCGAAGGCUAGGAGAACGAAACGGAUUAGAUACCCGUGUAGCCCUAGCAGUAAAUGAUGCGGACCUAGGUGUUGCCGUAACUUCGGGUUAUGGCAGUGCCCUAGCGUAAGCGUUAAGUCCGCCACCUGGGGGAGUACGAGCGCAAGCUUAAAACUUAAAAGGAAUUGGCGGGGGGAGCACCACAAUGGCGUGGAGGCUGCGGUUCAAUUGGAUCCAACGCC
rnacentral:rRNA from 1 species